rfam:Bacteriovorax sp. MedPE-SWde Bacteriovorax-sp-MedPE-SWde-C12, whole genome shotgun sequence.
AAAAAGGCUCCUUUCGGAGCCUUUUCUAUAUAAAAAUGUAAU